UGGGGAACAUUGCGCAAUGGGGGAAACCCUGACGCAGCAACGCCGCGUGAAGGAUGAAGGUCUUCGGAUUGUAAACUUCUUUGACGAGGGACGAAAGAAAUGACGGUACCUCGAAAACAAGCCACGGCUAACUAUGUGCCAGCAGCCGCGGUAAUACGUAGGUGGCGAGCGUUGUCCGGAAUUACUGGGUGUAAAGGGCGAGUAGGCGGGACUGCAAGUCAGAUGUGAAAGCUAUCGGCUUAACUGAUAAACUGCAUUUGAAACUGUGGUUCUUGAGUGAUGGAGAGGCAGGCGGAAUUCCUAGUGUAGCGGUGAAAUGCGUAGAUAUUAGGAGGAACACCAGUGGCGAAGGCGGCCUGCUGGACAUUAACUGACGCUGAGGCGCGAAAGCGUGGGGAGCAAACAGG
rnacentral:rRNA from 2 species